ensembl:lncRNA
CCACGCCACACCCAGCAUACCUUAUAAAGGACCUCUGCUUGUUCAGUCAACUCCAAGCAUUUUUUCUUUCCUAAAGCAUUAUUCCUAAUAUUCACAGCAAAACCAGCACUGCCUGACAGCGGACAAAAGGAAAAUCCUUUUGAGAACACCUGCUUCUUCCAGGGGAUGCCCUCCUCCAACCACAGCAAUGAUCUAAUUUAUUUAUGGCCACCCAUCACCAUGGCACCCAUCUGCACAACAAGGUUUCUAAAGGGCCUUACUCUACGCCAAGGAGACAAGGCAACCCCCUGUAUUUCAUUGCACCACAAGAUGCAGGUGUUUUCUGCCCUUCAGCUGGGAGCACUUUUCAGCCAACUCCAGUCCUACUUUGUGCCUCAGUCACCUUUUGACUGUGAUACUGGAGAGAAAAGGAGGAAGAAAAAAAAAAAAAAGGAGAGAGUGAGAGAUACUGAUUUUUGCUGCCUCAGCAGAUGUGUGUUAAAGUGUUUUAGUGAUUCAGCCAGUGCGCCUGCCUGGGGCCAAAGGAGAGGCAUUGUCUGAAUCUAAAACAAUUAAUAACAAAAAAAGAAUGUGGGCAGCACAGAGCGGGGGAAGGUGGAGGUGGAAAGCAAGCGAAUCACAGGGAUGUUCUCAGCUUGCUGAGCACUUCAGUAAGAUCGCCACCCAUUUCCAACAGCGGCGGUGUGGAUGCAGCCAAGACCCUCUGUGACACGGGAGCCUCACCAACCCCGUUGUACAAACGGAGGAACUAAAGCUGCUUUUGCAAUUCCUCCUGGGCCCUCCAGAGCCUCUGGACGAGGGCCACGCUCCUCCCCAGAGCCGAGCUGUGCUUCCCUGACAUCCCAAGCACACUGGGAGGAGGGGAGAUGCUCAGCCAUGCUAAGGGACCCGCUCAGGCCCUGCAGGCUCCUGUUUGCUGCGCAGCCCGUGAAGGCCGCAAAGGCACAAAA